rnacentral:rRNA from 1 species
GCCAGACUCCUACGGGAGGCAGCAGUGGGGAAUAUUGCACAAUGGGGGAAACCCUGAUGCAGCGACGCCGCGUGAGUGAAGAAGUAUUUCGGUAUGUAAAGCUCUAUCAGCAGGGAAGAAAAUGACGGUACCUGAUUAAGAAGCCCCGGCUAACUACGUGCCAGCAGCCGCGGUAAUACGUAGGGGGCAAGCGUUAUCCGGAUUUACUGGGUGUAAAGGGAGCGUAGACGGCAGCACAAGUCUGGAGUGAAAUGCCGGCUUAACCCCGGAACUGCUUUGGAAACUGUGCAGCUAGAGUGCAGGAGAGGUAAGUGGAAUUCCUAGUGUAGCGGUGAAAUGCGUAGAUAUUAGGAGGAACACCAGUGGCGAAGGCGGCUUACUGGACUGUAACUGACGUUGAGGCUCGAAAGCGUGGGGAGCAAACAGGAUUAGAUACCCCCGUACG